rnacentral:rRNA from 1 species
UACGAAGGGGGCUAGCGUUGUUCGGAAUUACUGGGCGUAAAGCGUGCGCAGGCGGUUUUCCAAGUCAGUGGUGAAAGCCCCGGAGCUCAACUCCAGAACUGCCUUCGAUACUGGAAGACUUGAGUCCGGGAGAGGUGAGUGGAACUGCGAGUGUAGAGGUGAAAUUCGUAGAUAUUCGCAAGAACACCAGUGGCGAAGGCGGCUCACUGGCCCGGUACUGACGCCUGAGGUGCGAAAGCGUGGGGAGCAAACAGG